UACGAAGGUGGCAAGCGUUGUUCGGAUUUACUGGGCGUACAGGGAGCGUAGGCGGUUGGGUAAGCCCUCCGUGAAAUCUUCGGGCCUAACUCGGAAAGUGCGGAGGGGACUGCUCGGCUAGAGGAUGGGAGAGGAGCGCGGAAUUCCCGGUGUAGCGGUGAAAUGCGUAGAUAUCUGGAGGAACACCGGUGGCGAAGGCGGCAUCCUGGACCAUUACUGACGCUGAGGAGCGAAAGCCAGGGGAGCAAACGGG
rnacentral:rRNA from 1 species